UUUCCAUGAUGAUGAUUUUACAGUUCUGCUACUGAAGAAUUUUGACGACAGCACAAAUACCAAAAUCUCUGAAAA